GACGAACGCUGGCGGCGUGCCUAAUACAUGCAAGUCGAACGCUUCUUUCCUCCCGAGUGCUUGCACUCAAUUGGAAAGAGGAGUGGCGGACGGGUGAGUAACACGUGGGUAACCUACCCAUCAGAGGGGGAUAACACUUGGAAACAGGUGCUAAUACCGCAUAACAGUUUAUGCCGCAUGGCAUAAGAGUGAAAGGCGCUUUCGGGUGUCGCUGAUGGAUGGACCCGCGGUGCAUUAGCUAGUUGGUGAGGUAACGGCUCACCAAGGCCACGAUGCAUAGCCGACCUGAGAGGGUGAUCGGCCACACUGGGACUGAGACACGGCCCAGACUCCUACGGGAGGCAGCAGUAGGGAAUCUUCGGCAAUGGACGAAAGUCUGACCGAGCAACGCCGCGUGAGUGAAGAAGGUUUUCGGAUCGUAAAACUCUGUUGUUAGAGAAGAACAUGGACGUUAGUAACUGAACGUCACCUGACGGUAUCUAACCAGAAAGCCACGGCUAACUACGUG
rnacentral:rRNA from 1 species